rnacentral:rRNA from 1 species
AGACGUCUACAUUAGACUACCCGCGUAGUCCCAGCCGUAAACUAUGCGCGUUAGGUGUAUCGGUGACCACGAGUUACCGAGGUGCCGAAGGGAAACCGUGAAACGUGCCGCCUGGGAAGUACGGUCGCAAGGCUGAAACUUAAAGGAAUUGGCGGGGAGCACCACAACGGGUGGAGCCUGCGGUUUAAUUGGACUCAACGCCGGGAAGCUCACCGGAUAAGACAGCGGAUUGAUUGCCGGGCUGAAGACUCUGCAUGACUAGCUG